AUGCAAGUCGAACGCGUUGGCCCAACUGAUUGAACGUGCUUGCACGGACUUGACGUUGGUUUACCAGCGAGUGGCGGACGGGUGAGUAACACGUAGGUAACCUGCCCCAAAGCGGGGGAUAACAUUUGGAAACAGAUGCUAAUACCGCAUAACAAUUUGAAUCGCAUGAUUCAAAUUUAAAAGAUGGCUUCGGCUAUCACUUUGGGAUGGACCUGCGGCGCAUUAGCUUGUUGGUAGGGUAACGGCCUACCAAGGCUGUGAUGCGUAGCCGAGUUGAGAGACUGAUCGGCCACAAUGGAACUGAGACACGGUCCAUACUCCUACGGGAGGCAGCAGUAGGGAAUCUUCCACAAUGGGCGCAAGCCUGAUGGAGCAACACCGCGUGAGUGAAGAAGGGUUUCGGCUCGUAAAGCUCUGUUGUUAGAGAAGAACGUGCGUGAGAGCAACUGUUCACGCAGUGACGGUAUCUAACCAGAAAGUCACGGCUAACUACGUGCCAGCAGCCGCGGUAAUACGUAGGUGGCAAGCGUUAUCCGGAUUUAUUGGGCGUAAAGCGAGCGCAGGCGGUUUGAUAAGUCUGAUGUGAAAGCCUUUGGCUUAACCAAAGAAGUGCAUCGGAAACUGUCAGACUUGAGUGCAGA
rnacentral:rRNA from 2 species